rnacentral:misc_RNA from 1 species
UCAACUUGUUUGAACUUUUUCUUUUAUUUUUCUUAACGGCAUGCACCCUAAGGGCAGGCUUUCAAUGUGUUGGAUGCUGUGAGUAUUGAUAUUUUUUGUGACUUUUUAAUGAUGACUCUAUUCUCUUCCCCGUCUUAUACGACUAUGCUGAGAAACAGAGGUAAUUCUGUUCGCAACAGAAUAUUUGUGUCCUUUGGGGAUACACAAGUGUACUUGCCAGUGCCAUUUAGUCUGAAUCUGUCUUUUGAAAACUACUUUCUGAUACACUACAACUGACAAUACUUUUUUCUCAGAAACCAAACAACAAUUAUGAAAGCUUCUAUUCCGGGGUGUGUUAAACUGGUAAGUUGCAUUUUCUUCCCAACUUUUCUGCAGCUUUGUGUCUAUCUAUUCCCUUAUAUGAUGAAAAUUUCCAUACAUUCGCAGUUUCCACUUGAGUGUCCAAUUAGUACUCCCCUAAUGCAGAAUGUUCUUUAUAUUCCCCCUCUAUACCAUGUUGAACCCAUAAAGCAUGUGUUGAGUGUGGGCCAUCUCCAAAAGAGAUGCGCUGGCAGGAAGCAGGGGUUGACACUAUGAGGGUUAUAAUGUCCUUCCUUUGGAUGUCUGAACUACCUUUUCUUUUCACUCUCUUCUUUUUUCUCUUAGAGUGCUGUAACUAAUUGGUCAUAAUCCCCUCCUUGCAGGUACUUAUGGUAUCAGUGAAGUUGUUUUAUAUAUUGUACUUCAGUAUAUCAUCAGUAAAGUGGUGCAGUAAGUGUGUUAAAUUAUAACAGUCCAGUCAGUAAAGUGUGUUAAGUUAAUAACAGUUAGUCAGUACAAGUUAAUAACAGUCAGUCAGUAUAAGUUAAUAACAGUCAGUCAGUUAAUAACAGUUCAGUCAGUAAAGUGUGUUAAGUUAAUAACAGUUAGUCAGUCAGUUAAUAACAGUUCAGUCAGUAAGUGUGUUAAGUUAAUAACAGUUCAGUCAGUAAAUGUGUUAAAUUAUAGUUACUAAAGAUUGACAAAAAAGAAGGGUACAUAGUUGGAUUAAGUUGUAAACUAAU